UCAAUGUAAAUUUACAAUUUUGCGGUCCAGAAAGAUUUGCACCGCGCAAAAUUCAGGAUCGAGACGCAGAGGUUUACCUAAUGAACAGCAAUCUUCCUCGGGCGUAGCUGGCUUCGUCUCGCGCGAGAUAAACGACCGCGCGUAAGGCAAAAACGAGGAUCGAGGCGGGUAAUUGUAUCUGACACGGGCCGGCUUCGUUGCAAACGCGAUUCACCGGCGUGACGGAUUUAUACGACUCGUCCCUGUGGGAACUCGUACGCGAUCUAUCCGCUGAGAUCCCCGUGAAUUUAUCGCGAUCGACUUCUGUGUCUUCAUGAAUAUUGCUUUUCUUAUAAGGAUACUGAAAUGUUCGCUCUGACUUUGAUGAAACUUCGUAGAUUUACGCUACGUUAAAUGAAUUUAUGUAAGAACGAAUACGUUAAGAAAAGAAAAGAAAUUAAGAUUUGUUAUUUAUAUUCAGCUGCUUCUUUUUAAUGCAAAUAAGUAGUUUUUCCUGUUUCAUGGUAGAUACUACGAAAUUUCAUCUGGAGGUUACACAGAGGAUCUAUUAUAAAAUGUAACAAAGAGAACCAUUCAUCUCUGAACUGAAACGAAUUUUAAGGCCCAUGUUUAUUAAAAGCGUUUUUGCUUUCUUAAUGACUAUCAUAUGCCACAGAAGUGCGUAUUCUCGUUAAAGUGUAACUGAAUAUUUCAUCUGAUACAACCAAGAAUCUCCUUUUUUACAAGUUUGUAUUUAAUCAAUAUUUAAUAAUUAUACUAUGAACACUAAUUCGAAGUUCGGAUCGAGCAAAAUCGGGUGAGAUCGGGUGAGAUCGGAUGAGACUGGGUAAAUCUGGCGAAAUCGAGUAAGAUCGGGGGAGAUCGGACGAGAUCGGGCAGGACUCCGUAGAUACUAUACUUUCGGGUUGUCGCCCGAUCUCCUUCGAUUUUUCCCAACCCGACCCGCGAUCGGGCCAAAACAACGUGGCCAAAGCGAAGCUCAACAGUUUCAACGUGGCUGCCGGUUCGUUUGUCACGCAACAGCUCAGCAUAUUUACAGUAUCAGCAUUCAGGCGGUGAAGUAACGACGAAGAAGCCGAGAGAAAGCGGUAUAUGUAUGUAUACAAGAGCUCGAGAAGCACGCGACGCUCCGUGGAAUUACGCGUUCGUCCGCUCCGAAGCGAGUCGUCGAGCAUACGUUUCCACCGUCCCCAUGUGUACACGCUUUUACUUCCUUCUUCCUACGUGUCGCCUCGACCGCGGCCACGGUCGACCAGAAGAAAGGUCGCUCCGUUCCUCUCUCGCGCCUUUGCCUUUGCCUUUGCUGCGGCAGUAAUUUAUUAACCCUCGCGAAAACGCGAGAUUCAAUGGUGAACAAACGGGGACGGGAUGAACGCAUUGUUCCUCGCGAACGUAAAUUUGAAACGUUGGACCGUCUCAAUUUUUAUGGGGAUCAUUGGUCAACCUAAACUGCGGGGUUUUACCGAGUCAUUGGGUCCCGGAAAUAUCCCAAAGAAUUAAGUGGGAAUCCGAAAAAAAAAAAAAAAGAAGGGAACGGAGACUGCUACCUGUUACUAUUCGUCAAUGGUGGCUGGUGAAAGUACCGGAUACGAUGGGAAAAAGAAACAGAAAUUGUGAAAUAACUCCACGGUACAAAUGGAAGAACUCGAUCCAUGGAAUCAAAACACUUUAAGUAAGAAUGUAGAAAAUAAUCUUUUUAGAAAUUCUACAAAUAUUUCAUUGCUUGUUGGUUUAAUAUCAUUUAGUUAGCAAUCUGUGCUCUAAUUUUUAUUUUCUACAACAAAAUUUGGAGAUUCUUAAACAUAAAUGCAGUGUCUAUAUUUAUGGAUAUAUGGAUUUCUAUUUAAUCCAUCGUGGAGAAAUAUAUUUUCUACAAUUUCUGUAGAUAACCUGGGUUAUUUAUCUGAAAAAUCUGACAAAACUCUGAAAUAGUUAUCGAAUUAUCGAAUUAUUCAUCAAGUCAAAUGUUUAAAGGAUUAAUUGGG